rnacentral:rRNA from 1 species
UACGGAAGGGGCUAGCGUUGUUCGGAAUUACUGGGCGUAAAGCGCGCGCAGGCGGUUAGACAAGUGAGGCGUGAAAGCCCUGGGCUCAACCUGGGAAUUGCGCUUCAGACUGUUUGACUGGAGUUCGGGAGAGGGUGGUGGAAUUCCCAGUGUAGAGGUGAAAUUCGUAGAUAUUGGGAGGAACACCGGUGGCGAAGGCGGCCGCCUGGCCCGUAACUGACGCUAUAGCGCGAAAGCGUGGGGAGCAAACAGG